rnacentral:rRNA from 1 species
AUUGAACGCUGGCGGCAUGCCUUACACAUGCAAGUCGAACGGCAGCACGGGAGCAACCCUGGUGGCGAGUGGCGAACGGGUGAGUAAAGUAUCGGAACGUACCUUUCAGUGGGGGAUAACGUAGCGAAAGUUACGCUAAUACCGCAUAUUCUGUGAGCAGGAAAGCAGGGGAUCGCAAGACCUUGCGCUGAUUGAGCGGCCGAUAUCAGAUUAGCUAGUUGGUGAGGUAAAGGCUCACCAAGGCGACGAUCUGUAGCGGGUCUGAGAGGAUGAUCCGCCACACUGGAACUGAGACACGGUCCAGACUCCUACGGGAGGCAGCAGUGGGGAAUUUUGGACAAUGGGGGCAACCCUGAUCCAGCCAUGCCGCGUGAGUGAAGAAGGCCUUCGGGUUGUAAAGCUCUUUCGGCCGGGAAGAAAUCGCGUUGGUUAAUACCCAGCGUGGAUGACGGUACCGGAAUAAGAAGCACCGGCUAACUACGUGCCAGCCGCCGCGGUAA